rnacentral:lncRNA from 1 species
AAGCAGGAUACAAGAAGCAGAGGAGAUAAUUAGAAAUUUGAAGUUAGAAGAUGAAAGAUUAGAUGCGGAGAAAGAGAAACUUUCAGUCGAGAAUGGAGAGCUCAAGCAAGACCUAGAUGCUUAUGGGAAUACAGAAGCAGAAUUGAAUCAGAAAUUAGAGGAGAUGAUCAAAGCGAAGGACAACUUGACUCUAGAAGUCACAGACCUAAAGAGUAAGUUGACAGCUACCACUGAAGAAAAGGAAGCUUUCAAUUCGGAACAUCAGACAGCUUUAAGCAGGAUACAAGAAGCAGAGGAGAUCAUUAGAAAUUUGAAGUUAGAAGCUGAAAGAUUAGAUGUGGAGAGAGAGAAAUUUUCGAUUGAGAAUACAGAACUCAAGCAAGACCUAGAUGCUUAUGGCAAUAAAGAAAAAGAAUUGAAUCAGAGAUUGGAGGAGAUUAGCAAAGAGAAGGACAACUUGAAUCUAGAAGUUGCAGACCUGAAGAGUAAGUUGACAGCUAUGACUGAAGAGAAGGAAGCUUUCAAUUUGGAACAUCAGACUGCUUUAAGCAGGAUACAAGAAGCAGAGGAGAUAAUUAGAAAUUUGAAGUUAGAAGCUGAAAGAUUAGAUGCGGAGAAAGAGAAACUUUCAGUCGAGAAUGGAGAGCUCAAGCAAGACCUAGAUGCUUAUGGGAAUACAGAAGCAGAACUGAAUCAGAGAUUGGAGGAGAUGAGCAAAGCGAAGGACAACUUGACUCUGGAAGUCACAGACCUAAAGAGUAAGUUGACAGCUAUCGCUGAAGAAAAGGAAGCUUUCAAUUCGGAACAUCAGACAACUUUAAGCAGGAUACAAGAAGCAGAGGAGAUCAUUAGAAAUUUGAAGUUAGAAGCUGAAAGAUUAGAUGUGGAGAGAGAGAAAUUCUCGAUUGAGAAUAGAGAACUCAAGCAAGACCUAGAUGCUUAUGGCAAUAAAGAAAAAGAAUUGAAUCAGAGAUUGGAGGAGAUUAGCAAAGAGAAGGACAACUUGAAUCUAGAAGUUGCAGACCUGAAGAUUAAGUUGACAGCUACGACUGAAGAAAAGGAAGCUUUCAAUUUGGAACAUCAGACCGCUUUAAGCAGGAUACAAGAAGCAGAGGAGAUAAUUAGAAAUUUGAAGUUAGAAGCUGAAAGAUUAGAUGCGGAGAAAGAGAAACUUUCAGUCGAGAAUGGAGAGCUCAAGCAAGACCUAGAUGCUUAUGGGAAUACAGAAGCAGAAUUGAAUCAGAAAUUAGAGGAGAUGAUCAAAGCGAAGGACAACUUGACUCUAGAAGUCACAGACCUAAAGAGUAAGUUGACAGCUACCACUGAAGAAAAGGAAGCUUUCAAUUCGGAACAUCAGACAGCUUUAAGCAGGAUACAAGAAGGAGAGGAGAUCAUUAGAAAUUUGAAGUUAGAAGCUGAAAGAUUAGAUGUGGAGAGAGAGAAAUUCUCGAUUGAGAAUAGAGAACUCAAGCAAGACCUAGAUGCUUCUGGGAACAAAGAAGAAGAAUUGAAUCAGAGAUUGGAGGAAAUGAGCAAAGAGAAGGACGACUUGAAUGUAGAAGUUGCAGACCUGAAGAGUAAGUUGACAGUUACCACGGAAGAAAAGGAAGCUUUAAAUUUGGAACAUCAGACAGCUUUAAGGAGGAUACAAGAAGCAGAGGAGGUCCUUAGAAAUUUGAAGUUAGAAGCCGAAAGAUUAAAUGCAGAGAAAGAGAAACUUUCAGUUGAGAAUGGAGAACUCAAGCAAGACCUUGGUGGUUCUGC